rnacentral:rRNA from 1 species
UAGGUGAACCUGCGGAAGGNUCAUUG